rnacentral:lncRNA from 1 species
GGUAAAGUUCGGAAAUGUUCGUUGAUUUCCGGUUACAUCACAAAAAUUUUAGUAUCACGGUGACCGUGGAAGCUGGUGUGUCUGUCGUCUUCUAAAGAAGUCUGCUUCUUACUGUUGUGGUUGUUAUUGUUGUGACGACCCUGUGUAUGUGUGUAUAGAUAUACACACGUAAGCGCGUGUGUGUACGUGUUACAUAAUGGAAUUACAUGUUACCGUUGCUGUUAUAGGGAGACGGGACCACUGCCACCAAAAAUAACAACACCACGAUCUCGAUUGUUACCACCUCUAACUUCAGUAACAACUUCACCCGGUAUAACUGAGGUAGGUGGCUGGUUCGCAUCUCACGAGUUAGUUUCUGAUAACUGUAAAAAUCAAUUUGUGACCCAGGACCCCAAUCUAUCACACUUUCUUUUGCCUCUCUUUUUCUCUUUCCCUUUUUAUUUCUGUUUCUGUGUUUCCAUCUCGCUUUCUUUCUCAUGUCCCUUCGUCUAUCGCUUUUAUAACUUUCAUUCUCUCCCCUCCUAUGUCUGCCUCUCUCUCUCUCUCUCUCUCUCUUUCUCUCCCCCCUCUCUCUCUCUCACUCUCUGUGAAAGCUGUGGACAGUCCUUUCUGCCAGACGAAACCAUAUGUUAAAAAGUUCACUUCGCAACUACGUAGUUUCAGGUUCGAUCUCAGUGCGUGGCACACUGAGCAUAUCUCUUUUAUCAUCGCUUCGGUAGACGAAAACUGUAGACAUCUGUUGCAUAUGUAUGUAUUUGUGUUUGUAUUUAUACCGGUUUUGAGAUUGAUGUUCUUUGGUUGUGUCCCUUUAUGCCCUGUAAUUGUGCGGUUCAACAAAGAGGUAUCGACAAAACAAGUACCCCACUUAUAUUUGGUUCUCUUGAAGGGCUUUAGUCGAUCAUGCCGGUCUUUGACUAUAACUUCCUUUCCUUCUACAACCUUUGUACUCAUAUCAAACCCAUUCCACCCAUUAUGUUACGUUAUCAUAGUUAUAUCAAACUACAUCGUAUGAUAUGCUCGCCCCACUUUUUAUUUUUAAGAGCGUAAGGCAGUGGUCAUCAACCAGUUUUUACAUAUGGACCCUUUUGAUUACUGUUUUACUCUACUUGACCCCUAUAGCUAUUUGAGGUUUAGAAAAUCCUAUUAUAUUUUCAUAAUUCAAUAUCAAUAGGAAUUGUGUUAAAAAAUGUUAGACUAUUUUAUGUGUUGAAGAAGUGUAACCAAUUUAUCGCGCAUAAAUUUUAACAACAAAAUCUUAUAUGAACCCCUAAGGGCCAUAUAAACCUCGGUUGAGAAACACUGGCAUAGGGUGCACUGUGAAAGGGAUUUGGUUACUAUUUCUAAUAGAUAGAACGAAAUGAAAAGGCAUUAUAUAAAUAAGGGUAUUGAUCGUAUCUCAUUACUUAACCUCUCAUUUCUAAUUCCUCUUUUCUUUCAUUCUUCAACUUUUUGUUGCUCUCGUCCCAUCCCACGUACAUAAUGUAUAUGCUAAUAUAUAUUCAACUCUCGCAAACUUAUCUGCCCCGAUGCACAUGUACAGAAAUAUAUGUUUCUAUUGCUUGCUCGUUCAUGUAUAUACAAAUAUAUCUAUCCAUUACGUAUAUACGAAUACAUCUAUCUAAUACACACACUUUUAUUUGCAAACAUAUUCCCUACACAUCUAAGUAAAUAUAUCUAACUUUCCAGUACGUAUCACACAUCUGUAUUCAAACAUCGUUUCCCGUUUCUUCUGCGAGUGAAACUUUGUUAUAAUGAAGCUUAAUACUGCGGCAAUUUAACAACCAAAAUCACAUAUAAAAAAAAAAGGAACUCAUUGUUUGAUUUUCUCAGAAAUUCCCGCUUUAAUUUGAAUAUCCUUUUAUGAACCAGCUUAUCGCUUCAAAGCACUUGUCACACUUGGAAUGAUAUUUCUGUCGGGGAGUCCUUUUUGUACGAUGGUGACUUUAAUUUUGUUAAAGUACAUCAUCAAUCUCUAUAAUACUGUCUCAAGUCCUCAGGGAUUGAAACCACAAUCUUGUGAUUGUGAGAGCAACAUUUAACCAUUAGGUCACUCACCUAUUUAUAACCACUAUUUAUUUCUUUACAGCACUACAACUGAUUCAUUCUCACUUUCCCCACCACUAAAUGUGAGUUGUCUUUACCAGAACUUGCUCUGUCCCACACCCUUCUUAUAUCCUCAUUUCCUAGCAUAAAGCUGCCCCCACACUUGGGUUUCAUAGUCUUGCAAGUUGCAUGGUGACCUCACUAGUACCAGUGGAAAAAAAA